rnacentral:lncRNA from 1 species
GAGAAAACAUACCCAAAGCCAGCUUCCACUGUGCAGACGAGUGGUGUAAGGAAACCUGGGAAGCCAUUCACAAAGAAGGGAUAAAAGGUGUGACACAUGCAGUGGGGUGGCGCUUGUCAGGCCCAGUGCAGCCACCUGUAGUCUGAAGGUCUGUGGCAGAGCUGAUCUCCCUAUGCUCAGCAGAUGAAAAUUGGAACUUCUAGGUGGUUCCUUUGACAAGUGGACAUAAAAUGGGUCAAGUGAAGGAACUGAAAAAUAGUGGUCUGGAUUCAUUCCUCUUCUAUUUAGAAGUUCAGCUUGGUGUGCUUGCAGUAUGUAUGCUACACGAUAUGGAAGUACUUACCCCAAAGAAAUGCGGAAUGUAGAGUCUUUAUCCUGGGAAAGAUCUGGUAGAGGUGUGUACAACUGUCCCUCAGAGAAGCUGAAUUGGAAACAGCUGAUCACAUUCUCUCACUUUUAUCAAGAGUGGAACUCAUCAACUGAAAUAAACUCAUGGUGGAUUCCAAAGAAACAUGAGAGUUGCCUAAUGGUAAGGAAUUAAAUUUCAGAACUCAUUGCCUUGGGAUGCAGGGAUGGCUUCAGAGAGAUUAAGUACAUCUGCAACAUAACGAUUAUUCAAAGGCUGAUUUCAGACUUGGGACUCUGGACAGUUGUGAAUAUUUGGUCUGAAUCAGGAUGACCAUACAUACACUCUUUGUUUUGUUCUUCUGAAUGAGUGCCUGAGCAAUCAUUGAGGGACAUAGGAAGCUUGACUUUCAGCCAGCCAUACCAGUGAUUUCUCUGAAGGUGGCAUGAAGGACUCAAAGCAUUGCCCCACGUCAUUCAAGAGAUCUGUGGUGCAGCAGGGUAACUCAGCUCUACAGCUAGCAACUGAAAACAUCCAUCAUGUCUACUCAGCAUUUUUUUGACUUACACAGCUUUACCCCAGAGCUCAAGCAAUUAUUUGCAGCCUGAAAAAAAGGGCAGCUACAGUCACUCGUAAGAUUUGGUCUCCUGCAUGGCUAUACAGGAGACUUCAGUCAUCUUGUG